AUGGACGCGAGUGCUCGUUCCCGGAGACUCAGAGCACCUCCAUCCAUUCCCUUGCACCAAGAACUUCCCUUCCUCACCAUGGAUCCAUUCAGAGAAGAAAGACCGGGAUCUGUCGACCACACGCGAAGAAUUUCACAUGUGCGUGUACACUGUUCUUCAACUUCACCACACCGUUCCAUCCAACUCGGGAGUGACGAUGAUGUUGGACAUGGACAGAAACAGGUUACCGAAGAAGGACUCAACAACGAAGAGUUACCUGGAGACGAAGAUGAUGACUACGACUACUAUGGCGAUCUGUAG
rnacentral:rRNA from 1 species